rnacentral:rRNA from 1 species
UGAGGAAUAUUGCGCAAUGGGGGAAACCCUGACGCAGCAACGCCGCGUGGGUGAUGAAGGCCCUCGGGUCGUAAAGCCCUGUCAGGUGGGAAGAAUGCUAUGAGGUGAAGAGCCGAGUAGUUUGACGGUACCACCGGAGGAAGCACCGGCCAACUCCGUGCCAGCAGCCGCGGUAAUACGGAGGGUGCAAGCGUUGUUCGGAAUCACUGGGCGUAAAGGGCGUGUAGGCGGUUAAUCAAGUCAGAUGUGAAAGCCCUGGGCUUAACUCAGGAAGUGCAUCUGAAACUGGUCAACUAGAGUACAGGAGAGGAAGGUGGAAUUCCUGGUGUAGGGGUGAAAUUCGUAGAUAUCGGGAAGAACACCGGUGGCGAAGGCGGCCUUCUGGCCUGAUACUGACGCU